rnacentral:rRNA from 1 species
GCGAAGCUCCUUGGUGGAUGGCUUGGCUAAGGAGCCGAAGAAGGGCGCGGCAAGCAGCGAUAUGCCACGGGUAGGCGCAAGCAGCCGUUGAUCCGUGGAUCCCUGAAUGAGUAUCUCGGCCUUACCUUUUAAGGGUAAGGUCGCCCUCUAAAGGGCGGGAAUCCCCCGAACGGAAACAUCUUAGUAGGGGGAAGAGGAGAAACCAAUUGGGAUGCCCUUAGUAGCGGCGAGCGAAAGGGGCAGAGUUCAAAUCGAACCCUUACCAGAUAAUGGUAGGGGGAUGUAAGGUUGUGGAUUCAUUCGAUAGCCCUAGUCUAGUUAGCCGAAGUGGGCUGGAAUGCCCUCCCAUAGAGGGUGACAGGCCCGUAGGCAAUAACUAGACGGGCUAAAUGAGAAUGAACUCCAGAGUACCACACCUUGGUUUUGGUGUGGGAAGCUGGGGGGCAUCAACCUCCAAAACUAAAUACUCCCUUAGACCGAUAGCGCACCAGUACCGUGAGGGAAAGCUGAAAAGAACCCCGGGAGGGGUGUGAAAAGAGCCUGAAACCAAGGAGCUACAGGCGAUAUGGUCCGAAAGGAAUGAUUUUGCUUAUACCCUUAUGUGAGAGCAUAGGGGUGUAAGCAAAAGACCGGGAUCAUAUCUUACGUCUAGAAACACGGGCCAGGGAGUUCAGGGUUGUGGCAAGCCUAAGGGGUCUAACCCCGGAGGCGAAGGGAAACCGAGUCCUCGCAGUAGAUGCCUCUAUAUAUUACUAGUGUCCUAAAUUGGAGGAAACGAUGAAGAUUUAGGAUGCUAGUAAUAUACAAGCAUCUACGAGGAGGAGGGUUUUAAUAGAGCCUAAGUCACAACCCUGAGACCCGAAACCGAGCGAUCUAGGCCUGGGCAAGGCGAAGCUGGGCGAAAGCCCAGUGGAGGCCUGAAUAGGGGUGCUGACGUGCAAAUCGCUCCCCUGACCUGGGCCUAGGGGCAAUAGACCAAUCAAGCUCGGUGAUAGCUGGUUCCCCCCGAAGCUGGUCCCAGCCAGGCCCUCCUGGAGAUCCAUUAAGGUGUAGAGCUACCGAUCGUUGGUCAAGGGCCGAAAGGUCCUGACCGACGGUCGAACUCCGAAGCCUUAAUGAUCGAAGAAGGGAGGAGACGGGUUUCGCGGGAUAAGCCUGCGAGCCGAAAGGGGGACAACCCAACCUAGAGUUAAGGUCCCUAAAUGCCGGCUAAGUGUCAAGCACAAAGGGCGUCAUCGUCCUGAGACAGCCGGGAGGUAGGCUUAGAAGCAGUUAACCUCUAAGGAGUGCGUAACAGCUCACCGGCCGAGGACGGUGGCUCCGAAAAUUGACGGGACUUAAGCCGGCUACCGAGACUCUAGGACGUACCUUGAAGUAAGGUACGAUUCGGUAGGGGGGCAUCAUGAUCGGGCAGAAGCCGGGCUGUGAAGUCCGGUGGACCGAUCAUGAAAGCGAAUCCUGGUAGUAGUAACAGCGAAGCUGGGUGAGAAUCCCAGCCGCCGGAAGGGCCAGGGUUCCUCGGCAAUGCGUCAUCAGCCGAGGGUUAGCCGCUCCUAAGGGUGGCCUUAACUGGUUCACCCGAAAGGGAAAACGGUUAAUAUUCCGUUGCUAAGGGCUUACGUUUCGUGGCAACACUAAGCCAUGUUCCAGACGGGUAGGGAUAGGCCAUGUAGGGCGUCGCCCUACUUAACUUGCGAACCGCAAGGAGUGUCGUAAUGACGAGAAUUGCGGGAAGCAAGGAAUAGCCCUCCUUGUGAGGGUAUGGCUGAUUCCCUGCCCCCGUGAAAAUGGAACAUGGAAGGAUAGCCCUUAAGCGUACCUAGAUCCGACACAGGUGCCCCUGGCUUAGAAGGCCAAGGCGUCUCCGGGUACUCCAGGCCAAGGAACUAGGCAAAUUGGCCCCGUACCUUCGGUAGAAGGGGUGCCUGGAAUCCUUAGCUUUUGCUAGGGAUUCUAGGUCGCAGUGACAAGGAGGUCCCGACUGUUUAAUAAAAACAUAGGUCCCCGCGAGCCCGAAAGGGUGAGUACGGGGGCUGAAUCCUGGCCACUGGCGGUACGCGAACCCCGGGUUCAACCGGGCUAAGCGCCGCUGAAGGCCGGGAGUAACUCUGACUCUCUUAAGGUAGCCAAAUGCCUUGUCGGGUAAGUUCCGACGUGCAUGAAUGGAUCAACGAGGGCCUCACUGUCUCGGCCUGGAGCCGGGUGAACCUGCAACCUAGUGCACAGUCUAGGGACCCCCGAUGGGGCGAGAAGACCCCGUGGAGCUUUACUGCAGCCUCAAGCUGUGAUAUCUUUCCUGCUGCGUAGAGUAGACGGGAGCCCAUGAAGUAUGUUCUCUGGGACAUAUGGAGGCGAAAGUGAAACACCGUCCAGCGGGAAGGAUAUCACUAACCUGGUUUCAGGGACAACUUGAGGUGGGCAGUUCGGCUGGGGCGGCACGCCCCCGACAAAGAAUCGGGGACGUCCAAAGGUCAGCUCAGGCAGGUCAGAAACCUGCCGUGGAGGACAAGGCCAAAUGCUGGCCUGAUUGGUUUCCUAACUGCACGGAAACCAAGGGCGAAAGCCUGGCCUAGCGAACGCUUAUGUCCCCUUUGAUGGGGGCUAGGCAUGACGGAAAAGCUACCCCGGGAGUAACCGGCUCGUCGCGGGCGAGAGCUCACAUCGACCCCGCGGUUUGGUACCCAGACGUCGUCUCUUCCCAUCCUGGGGACGCAGCUGUCCCCAAGGGUAGGGCUGCCCGCCCGUUAAAGGGAACCGUGAGAUGGGUUUAGACCGUCGUGAGACAGGUCGGUCUCUACCUAUCGGGGGCGUAGGCUAUUUGAGGCGAAGGUGUUCCCAGUACGAGAGGAACGGAACACCGCCGCCUCUGGUGAACCAGCUGUCCGAUAGGGCAAGCUGGGUAGCCACGCGGUAAGGGCUAAAGGCUGAAAGCAUCUAAGCCUGAAGCCCUCGCCGAGACUAAAUAGCCACUCCCUUUGGUCUAAAAAGCCAAAGGGAUAAGGACUCCAGCAAAACACUGGGUUGAUAGGGCGGAGGUGUAAGCACCAAGGCCGAAAGGCCGAGGUGUUUAGCCUACCGCUACUAAUCGUCCGAAGUAAGUACG